rnacentral:ncRNA from 2 species
CUGCCCGCAGGAGAUGGCAGUCCUCCUCCAACCGCCCGCGAGGCUGAUGAUGCCUGCAAUGAC